AUGAACGCUGGCGGCGUGCCUCAUCCAUGCAAGUCGAGCGCACGGACGAGAAGCUUGCUUCUCUGAUGUUAGCGGCGGACGGGUGAGUAACACGUGGAUAACCUACCUAUAAGACUGGGAUAACUUCGGGAAACCGGAGCUAAUACCGGAUAAUAUUUUGAACCGCAUGGUUCAAAAGUGAAAGACGGUCUUGCUGUCACUUAUAGAUGGAUCCGCGCUGCAUUAGCUAGUUGGUAAGGUAACGGCUUACCAAGGCAACGAUGCAUAGCCGACCUGAGAGGGUGAUCGGCCACACUGGAACUGAGACACGGUCCAGACUCCUACGGGAGGCAGCAGUAGGGAAUCUUCCGCAAUGGGCGAAAGCCUGACGGAGCAACGCCGCGUGAGUGAUGAAGGUCUUCGGAUCGUAAAACUCUGUUAUUAGGGAAGAACAUAUGUGUAAGUAACUGUGCACAUCUUGACGGUACCUAAUCAGAAAGCCACGGCUAACUACGUG
rnacentral:rRNA from 1 species